UAAAAAAAAAGGAAAGGUGUAUAACUGUACCAACGCAAUCAGAGGCGAGUAAGGGCAUAGUAAGCGACGAAAUGCUUCGGGGAGUUGGAAAUAAGCAUAGACCUGGAGAUUCCCAAAUAGGUCAACCUUUUAAAGAGACUGCUGAGUCUCUGAGCAGGCAAGAGACAACUUAGCGAACUGAAAAACCUUAGUAGCCAGAGGAAAAGAAAGCAAAAUCGAUUCCCAUACUAGCGGCGAGCAAAAUGGAUGUUGGAAAUAAGUCGUGACGGAGCACGGUGCGACCGGCGUUAGUGCGCCAGGUCGGGUCCGUGACGGUGCGACCGACGUCGGUGCGUCUGGUCGGGUCCGCAGGCUGGGUCACGGUCGUGUACGUAUGUGCGUACGUGUGUAGCGUCUGUGUGCUCGUGGUUGUAGUAGUAGGCCUAUAGCAGCGAGAUGUGAAGUUGCACAUGUUCGUUAGUCUUUUAGUAUCUGUA
rnacentral:ncRNA from 1 species